rnacentral:rRNA from 1 species
UAAUACGUAGGGUGCGAGCGUUGUCCGGAAUUACUGGGCGUAAAGAGCUCGUAGGUGGUUUGUCGCGUUGUUCGUGAAAACUAGAGGCUUAACCUCUGGCGUGCGGGCGAUACGGGCAGACUGGAGUACUGCAGGGGAGACUGGAAUUCCUGGUGUAGCGGUGGAAUGCGCAGAUAUCAGGAGGAACACCGGUGGCGAAGGCGGGUCUCUGGGCAGUAACUGACGCUGAGGAGCGAAAGCGUGGGGAGCGAACAGG